CCUACGGGCGGCUGCAGUGGGGAAUAUUGGACAAUGGGGGCAACCCUGAUCCAGCCAUGCCGCGUGUGUGAAGAAGGCCCUCGGGUUGUAAAGCACUUUCAGUGAGGAAGAACGCCUGGUGGUUAAUACCCAUCAGGAAAGACAUCACUCACAGAAGAAGCACCGGCUAACUCCGUGCCAGCAGCCGCGGUAAUACGGAGGGUGCGAGCGUUAAUCGGAAUUACUGGGCGUAAAGCGCGCGUGGGUGGCUUGAUAAGCCGGUUGUGAAAGCCCCGGGCUCAACCUGGGAACGGCAUCCGGAACUGUCAAGCUAGAGUGCAGGAGAGGAAGGUAGAAUUCCCGGUGUAGCGGUGAAAUGCGUAGAGAUCGGGAGGAAUACCAGUGGCGAAGGCGGCCUUCUGGACUGACACUGACACUGAGGUGCGAAAGCGUGGGUAGCAAACAGGAUUAGAUACCCCAGUAGUC
rnacentral:rRNA from 1 species